rnacentral:rRNA from 1 species
UACGUAGGGAGCAAGCGUUGUCCGGAUUCAUUGGGCGUAAAGAGCUCGUAGGCGGUUCAGCAAGUCGGGUGUGAAACCUCCAGGCUCAACCUGGAGACGCCACCCGAUACUGCUGUGACUUGAGUCUGGUAGGGGACCACGGAAUUCCUGGUGUAGCGGUGAAAUGCGCAGAUAUCAGGAGGAACACCGGUGGCGAAGGCGGUGGUCUGGGCCAGUACUGACGCUGAGGAGCGAAAGCGUGGGGAGCGAACAGG